UAGUAGCUUUCGACCGAUGGUUUCUUGUUUUGUUUAAAUUGUUUCAUCCAAAAUCCAUAUCGUUUCAUCUAAAAUCGAUGUCGUUCAAUUUUUUGAGGAAGUUUGAAAGUCUUCUAGGAGUAAUUGUACUAUACCCUGUUAGGAGAAAUAGUAGUGUAAAGUAAUUUGGUUGAAAAGAGUAGCUUUCGACCGAUGGUUUUAUGGUUUCUUGUUUUAUCUAAAUUGUUUCACCCAAAAUCCAUACUGUUCCGUUUAAAGCCGAUGUUCUAUUCGAUUUUUUGAGAAAGUUUGGACAGUCUUCUAGGAGUAAUUGUAUCAUACCAUGUAUGGAGAAAUAAAAUAGUAAAGUAACUUGGUUGGAUAGUAGCUUUCGACCGAUGGUUUUAUGGUUUCUUGUCUCAUCUAAAGACCAUAUUGUUUCACUUAAAGUAGAUAUCCUUCGAUGUUUUAAAGAAGUUUGAACAGUCUUGUUGAAGUAAUUGUAAAGUAAUUUGGUUGGAUAACAGCUUUCGACCGAUGGUUUUAUGGUUUUUUCUUUCAUCUGAAAUCGAUAUCGUUUCAUCUAUCGAGAAAGUUUGGACAGUUCUGUUGUAGUAAUUGUAUUAUUCUAUCUACGGAGAAAUAGUGGCGUAAAGUAAUUUGGUUUGGGUAAUAGCUUUCGACCGAUGGUUUUGUGGUUCCUUGUCUCAUCUAAAGACCAUAUUGUUUCAUUUAAAGUCGAUGUCGUUUCAAUGUUUUAAGAAACUUUGAACAAUCUUAUUGAAGUAAUUGUAAAAUAAUUUGCUUGGAUAACAGCUUUCGACCGAUGGUUUCAUAGUUUUCUUUCAUAUAAAGUCGAUAUCGUUACAUUUUUUGAGAAAGUUGGAACAAUCUUAUUGCAGUAAUUAUACCAUACGUAUAAAAAAAUAGUAGCCUAAGGUAA